AUUGAACGCUGGCGGUGUGCCUAAUACAUGCAAGUUGAGCGGCAGCGGGCCCUUCGGGGCGCCGGCGAGCGGCGGACGGCUGAGUAACACGUAGGAACGUACCCCAAAGUGAGGGAUAACUGCUCGAAAGAGUAGCUAAUACCGCAUGUGGUCUAAGGAUUAAAGCUUUAUGCGCUUUGGGAGCGGCCUGCGUUCGAUUAGCUAGAUGGUGAGGUAAAAGCUUACCAUGGCGACGAUCGAUAGCUGGUCUGAGAGGAUGAUCAGCCAGACUGGGACGAAGACACGGCCCAGACUCCUACGGGAGGCAGCAGUAGGGAAUUUUCCACAAUGGGCGAAAGCCUGAUGGAGCAACACCGCGUGCAGGAUGAAGGCCUUCGGGUUGUAAACUGCUUUUAUCUGUGACGAUUAUGACGGUAGCAGAUGAAUAAGGAUCGGCUAACUCCGUGCCAGCAGCCGCCGCCG
rnacentral:rRNA from 1 species